GACGAACGCUGGCGGCGUGCUUAACACAUGCAAGUCGAACGGAAAGGCCCUGCUUUUGUGGGGUGCUCGAGUGGCGAACGGGUGAGUAACACGUGAGUAACCUGCCCUUGACUUUGGGAUAACUUCAGGAAACUGGGGCUAAUACCGGAUAGGAGCUCCUGCUGCAUGGUGGGGGUUGGAAAGUUUCGGCGGUUGGGGAUGGACUCGCGGCUUAUCAGCUUGUUGGUGGGGUAGUGGCUUACCAAGGCUUUGACGGGUAGCCGGCCUGAGAGGGUGACCGGACAGAGUGGGAAUGGGAGACGGCCCAGGCUCGUACGGGAGGAAGGAGUAGGGAAGAUUGCACAAUGGGCGGAAGCCUGAUGCAGCAACGCCGCGUGGGGGAUGACGGCCUUAGGGGUGUAAACCGCUUUCGCCUGUGACGAAGCGUGAGUGACGGUAAUGGGUAAAGAAGCACCGACUAACUACGU
rnacentral:rRNA from 1 species